UACGGAGGGAGCUAGCGUUAUUCGGAAUUACUGGGCGUAAAGCGCACGUAGGCGGCUUUGUAAGUUAGAGGUGAAAGCCUGGAGCUCAACUCCAGAAUUGCCUUUGAUACUGCAUGGCUUGAAUCCAGGAGAGGUGAGUGGAAUUCCGAGUGUAGAGGUGAAAUUCGUAGAUAUUCGGAAGAACACCAGUGGCGAAGGCGGCUCACUGGACUGGUAUUGACGCUGAGGUGCGAAAGCGUGGGGAGCAACAGG
rnacentral:rRNA from 1 species